rnacentral:tRNA from 1 species
GCGGGACUAGCUCAGUUGGCAGAGCGCCAGCUUCCCAAGCUGGAUGUCGCGAGUUCGAACCUCGUGUCCCGCUCCA